rnacentral:tRNA from 1 species
GCCUACUUACUCUAACUGAUAAGAGACUUGUCUUGAAAACAAGCGUAGCUAUAAAAGGCGAUAGGGGUUCGAGUCCCUGAGCAGGCG